rnacentral:lncRNA from 1 species
GUCAGUAGCGGGAGCAGUUUUCUCUGGAAUAUGAUCCUCAUCGGUGUCCCCGCCAGCAGCUACAUUCUCAGGAAUGUACGCGGGGACUUGGUUAGGCACCAGAUCAUUAGUAUAACAAUAACUAUUCGGGUUACGUACAUCUGUGCGAUUUGGAUUUGGGAGGAUAAAAUCUUGUAACACAUUAUUAAUAAUUAUUAAAUUAAAU